UGCAUAUACUAACGGAUGCGAUC
rnacentral:siRNA from 1 species